rnacentral:rRNA from 1 species
GAUGAACGCUGGCGGCGUGCCUAAUACAUGCAAGUCGAGCGAACGGACGAGAAGCUUGCUUCUCUGAUGUUAGCGGCGGACGGGUGAGUAACACGUGGAUAACCUACCUAUAAGACUGGGAUAACUUCGGGAAACCGGAGCUAAUACCGGAUAAUAUUUUGAACCGCAUGGUUCAAAAGUGAAAGACGGUCUUGCUGUCACUUAUAGAUGGAUCCGCGCUGCAUUAGCUAGUUGGUAAGGUAACGGCUUACCAAGGCAACGAUGCAUAGCCGACCUGAGAGGGUGAUCGGCCACACUGGAACUGAGACACGGUCCAGACUCCUACGGGAGGCAGCAGUAGGGAAUCUUCCGCAAUGGGCGAAAGCCUGACGGAGCAACGCCGCGUGAGUGAUGAAGGUCUUCGGAUCGUAAAACUCUGUUAUUAGGGAAGAACAUAUGUGUAAGUAACUGUGCACAUCUUGACGGUACCUAAUCAGAAAGCCACGGCUAACUACGUGCCAGCAGCCGCGGUAAUACGUAGGUGGGCAGCGUUAUCCCGGAAUAUCGGGCGUAAAGCGCGCGUAGGCGGUUUUUUAGUCUGAUGUGAAAGCCCACGGCUCAACCGUGGAGGGUCAUUGGAAACUGGAAAACUUGAGUGCAGAAGAGGAAAGUGGAAUUCCAUGUGUAGCGGUGAAAUGCGCAGAGAUAUGGAGGAACACCAGUGGCGAAGGCGACUUUCUGGUCUGUAACUGACGCUGAUGUGCGAAAGCGUGGGGAUCAAACAGGAUUAGAUACCCUGGUAGUCCACGCCGUAAACGAUGAGUGCUAAGUGUUAGGGGGUUUCCGCCCCUUAGUGCUGCAGCUAACGCAUUAAGCACUCCGCCUGGGGAGUACGACCGCAAGGUUGAAACUCAAAGGAAUUGACGGGGACCCGCACAAGCGGUGGAGCAUGUGGUUUAAUUCGAAGCAACGCGAAGAGCCUUACCAAAUCUUGACAUCCUUUGACAACUCUAGAGAUAGAGCCUUCCCCUUCGGGGGACAAAGUGACAGGUGGUGCAUGGUUGUCGUCAGCUCGUGUCGUGAGAUGUUGGGUUAAGUCCCGCAACGAGCGCAACCCUUAAGCUUAGUUGCCAUCAUUAAGUUGGGCACUCUAAGUUGACUGCCGGUGACAAACCGGAGGAAGGUGGGGAUGACGUCAAAUCAUCAUGCCCCUUAUGAUUUGGGCUACACACGUGCUACAAUGGACAAUACAAAGGGCAGCGAAACCGCGAGGUCAAGCAAAUCCCAUAAAGUUGUUCUCAGUUCGGAUUGUAGUCUGCAACUCGACUACAUGAAGCUGGAAUCGCUAGUAAUCGUAGAUCAGCAUGCUACGGUGAAUACGUUCCCGGGUCU